GGGAAGGUGGCUCAGUGGUAGAGUGUUUGCUUCACAUGCAUGAGGCCCUGGGUU
rnacentral:tRNA from 1 species